rnacentral:lncRNA from 1 species
AUUAAAUAUACCUUAGUCAAAAAAUGGCCUUAUAGAAAUGUAACAGUAUGGAAGUUGCUUAUAUAAAAUCUAAAUAUUUCUCAUAGGAUGGCUGCAAUAAAUCAGUAGUUUUUACAAAAUCUCAAUCAAGGUUUAGUUUUUCUAAUAGCAAGCACAACAGAAGUACGGACAUGAUAUAGUCUGAAUUGUGUUGAGAAUUGUUUUGGGUACAUCUGUACACUUGUAUAAUAGGCAUGUAGUAACGUGCUGAGAUGUAACUACCAGUGGAAAACCAAUUUUUUUUAUAUUGACAAGAAAGCUACAUUAGGAUGCAGUUGGAUACACACAAUUCUUACUAUACUGCCAGUUACUCAAAAGGGUAGCCUAAAUCAUGCCCCCAAACCAAUGCAGAAAAACACAGAAUCAUAGCAGUUAAGGUUGAAAAAAAACUUUGUUAGUGCGUCUAGUUCAGCCUUUGACUAACUCAUCAUAGAUGUUGCGGUUGGCCUCAGAGUAUACCACAAAAAUUCUUACACCUUUCGGCUAAGUUUCCUGAUUAGAAAUUUUACACUUAAUACAACACAAACAGACUGAUAAACCAAGAAAUAGCAAAAAUUGCAUACCAUGCACAUAAGGAUAAAAUAUUAGAUUUAACAAUUAUAUUUUGCACAAAUAAGUCUAAUUUAUGUAGGUACAAUACGAAGCAAUCAGAAAAAGGAUAGCAUGAUUUCAAAGUGUCUGUUAAAGAGAUAUUAAAAUUUAAUUCAUAUACCUGACUUCAUAUUGAUUCAAAAGUCAAUGCAUGUUCUAGAUCACAGCAGAUAUCGUGUUGGCCCAACCAGCUUAUUUCUAAUCAGUACUACAAAAAUGUUAUAAUAGAAACAUCUCUAUAGAGUGUAAAAUAAGAUAUUGUCAGUGCUAUUAAAAUGAGUUUGGGGAUAAAUAUUAUCUAACUAUUGAAGGGAGCUUAAAAAUAAAAAGAACAUAUACAAAAAAAAUAUAAAAAUUAAAAAACAAACCCCCACAAAAGGUUAUUUUAAAAUGGAUUCAGCUGCCAAGCUAUGCAUAGCAAAGAGUGCGAAGCAUGUGAUUUCUAACCCCUUUCAAUGCCAGCCGUCCUUGUAGUUAAUAUCUGGCUGCUAAAGGGUUAAACAUGAGACUUGAGGUAGGCUAGAUGUAGUGUAAAACAUUGAUUAAAAACACAGCCAGAAAAAUCUGAUUUUCCAAAUCCUAAAAUACAUGGAUUCAUUUCAGUCUCUCGUCUACUAUCAAUCCGUACCUUUUACAUUAGUCACCAGUUUGAAACUGUAAUAAUAAUAAUAAAGAAAAAAAAAAGUAAAAAAAAUAAAAAUAGAAAACAAUCACAGGUAAAACAUUAUUAAAAAUGAUUGGCCAUAUGCUACAGACUAAAUCACCUUUGUAGAAACAAAAAUGAAAAAAAUGUGUGGGUGUUAUUGUAUUAGAAAACAAAAACAAUGGGGCAGACAGAAAGUUUAUAUACAUUCUGCAUCUUCUGUCUAUUGUAUUAUCUACAGCGGUUUAGCCGAAGGCUGCCAUCAGCAUUAUAUCAAAAAUCCACAGGUCAUCAUGAUGCAUUUUUCACUGAGAAAUAAGACCACUCUGCAGGGAAAUAAACCAGGAAAAACUGUCCAUUAACCCAACCAGAAAAAAAAUAUAUAUUGUACUUCUUUUAAUCUAGACUGGAUUGUGAUAAACACUAUAUACAAUUUAUUGUCUCUUCUAAGAUAGACUAUAUUUUAUCUUAUUUCAUUCAGGAACACACUGGAGACUGCAUGAAACAAUACUGAGUAAAUAGCUUUACAGGUCAGAAAAUACAUAUUCAUUUUUACAAGUGAACUUCCAUUUAUUUGGGGUCAAAUUAUCAACCCCAUUUAUAUAACCCAGUAGUUAAAACACCACUUGGUAUUUCCAUGAGUAAUAAUAUAACUGAGGAACAAAUUAUCAAAAAUAAUUUUAAAUCUGCAUUUUCCCCCCUCACAAAUUAAGAUAUUUACAAACAACCUAAACUUUGCAACUCAUAAUUCCAGUCUCCUGAGUUACGUAAGAAUUUCUCUGUAAGAAUAGAACAGCAAUAGGGCAUGCAUACUGGGGCAUAAUGGGAGUCUGAGUCCAUAGCAGAUGGAGUGAAGGAUACACAACUGAAGGUUCGGUGAAAAAUAGAAAACAAUUAGGGGAAGUUAAAUAUUUUUGGUAAGAGACAUUUUCUCAACAAUGUGCAUGUCUGGAUAUAUGCAAUCAUUUAUUUUAUAUCUAUUUAAAUAUAUUUAAAAUUGAAACCAGAUGUGAAUAUUUACAUUAAAGAUUUAAAUCCAAUUUAAUUUAAACCUGUAAAGGGUGCAAACAUUUACUAUUUCCCCCAAAAUAAGUUUUUUUUAUUUUAAGAGAAAAAGGAAAUCUGGAAAUUUCACAAUACUUGGAGUAGGAAUGAUCUACAAAUACUAGAGAAUAGAUUCAUAUUUUUAAGAACAAGUACUAUACAAGGCCCUAAGAAAUGGUGAUGAGAAAUACUAUAAUUCAUUUUGGUCCCAAAAUAAAAAUAUAAAAACAUUAAAUAAAAAAAAUAAAAAUCCAUCCAAAGAUAAUGAGAAAUAAAAAAACUACUUUACGGUAAUGCAGAUACAAGAAUGCAGACAAGGUCACACAACUUGUAUUGGUCUAAAAUGUAAUAUCCUAGCCCACUUAAUGAAAGAUCUGACUGAGAAAUUAAUAUUUUGGUUUUGCACUGAAUUGCAAAAAUGGCCUUAAUUAGGGAAACUGUCAUUAAAAUUAUGUUGGGACCGUUUAAAUUAUCACUAAUUUCAACUUUAUGUGGUGCUAUAAAAUAAUUAUCCCAACAGCUUUUCGUUGAAUAUACAUUUAAAUGGGUGUAGCUCAACAUUUGUAACAUGAGUAAUGAUUUAAGAUGACAUGCCAAUGACAAGAUAUCUAAAUGGGAGAUUAACAAAUCAUUAGAUUAAAUAUAUCAUGGGCAGAUUAGGGCCAUGUAACUUAAUGAGGCCCUAGUAAAAUCAAAGAGUAAUUUAUUGAACCUUUCUAGUGACAGGUAUUGGUUAUGAAAAUAAAACCCUUGACAAAUUAUGUAUAUUAUUACAAUAACAUGAUGGAUAGUUACAAAAUGUAAUGUGUCAAAUACAGGGAAACUAGUGAUUUUAAGAAACAUUAAUAGCACAGUAGUGUCUAUCCUGUUUUAAUGUAACAAAGUGUUAUUCAAUUACUUAUAAACUUGCACACAAAGUUCUUUAAUAAACUCUAAAUUUUUGUGAAUUAAAUCCGAAUGACAAAACAGGCUAAAAUAGCUACGCUUUAACGAUAGCCUAUAUGGAGAAUUUAUCCUAAUCAGCUAUUCUAGCCUUUAAAAAAAAUAAAAAUAAUAAUACAAUUUGUGUUUCAUUUUCCAAAAAUUUAAAAAAUAUAUAAAUUUAGUGACUAACCCUGUAAGAUGGAAAAUAUAAUGCACUCACUUAAAUUACAUGGUUUUAUUAUAGCCUGCUCUUAAAAAUGUAUAUAAUUACUCAGCUCCGAUUGAAAAACUUUGCAACACUUAGAUUAUCCUCUAGAGGGCAGUAAGUGAGUUUACUUCCACUACUAAUAGAAAUUGAAAACUGAACAGAAUGCUGGUGUGAGCUCAAUUAAACAUAUGAAUAGCAAUCAAAGUUAACUGUGACUGGUAAAACCUAACAUCCAUCAAGUACAACCGAUCGCACAUCUGCAUACCAAUGAAGAAAAAAACAACAAAACACAAUCUGUACACUAUGGCUGUGUUAAAGAUACACCUUAACAUCAUAUUUUUUUGAAGACACAAACGGGCUGAUUUAAGUUAUUUCCGUAUGCUAGUUAAUGUGGUAUAUGGAUCACAACUUUCUAAACUCUAUAUAGGUAGUGCAGAUUGCUUUCAACAGCCCACUGUCGACUGCAUUAGGCAAGUUUCUAAUCUAGGUUCUAUGUGCUGUGCACUGAAAGUCUUAAAGGUACACAUACAACACCUCUUUUGGUACAUAUAUUUCUAAGGUGUGCGCAAUGCCCCUUAAACAUGACAGUCCAGUUUAAAUCUGCAACCCUAAUAUAAAUAAACCCUCGCUAUAGGCCAAGUCAAAAGUCAAGAGUCUAACAUGUAUUUGAUGAUUCCCUACUUUUCAAUCCCUCUCUAUAUCUGGAACAACAGAGUUUGAAAGCCAUGUUUAAAAAAUUAUUUAUUAAUUGGCAUUUAAAAACAUGUUUGAACAACCCGUUCGUGCCAUAUUUCAAGGCAUUGUCCAUUAAAGGAUCUUUACUUAUAAUACAGGCAAAGUGGGUCAUGAUUAUGUGCAAUGUAAGUUCCUUUAUGUGUGUGUAAAA